rnacentral:rRNA from 1 species
GAUGAACGCUAGCGGCAGGCCUAACACAUGCAAGUCGAGGGGUAGACAUCUUCGGAUGUUGAGACCGGCGCACGGGUGCGUAACGCGUAUGCAAUCUGCCUUAUACUAAGGGAUAGCCCAGAGAAAUUUGGAUUAAUACCUUAUGGUUAAUAAAGCCGGCAUCGGUUUAAUUAUAAAGAUUUAUUGGUAUAAGAUGAGCAUGCGUCCCAUUAGUUAGUUGGUAAGGUAACGGCUUACCAAGACGAUGAUGGGUAGGGGUCCUGAGAGGGAGAUCCCCCACACUGGUACUGAGACACGGACCAGACUCCUACGGGAGGCAGCAGUGAGGAAUAUUGGUCAAUGGACGGAGGUCUGAACCAGCCACGCCGCGUGCAGGAUGAAGCAUCUAUGGUGUGUAAACUGCUUUUGUACGGGAAGAAAAAAAGCUACGUGUAGUUUACUGACGGUACCGUAAGAAUAAGGAUCGGCUAACUCCGUGCCAGCCGCCGCAGUAA